UACAGAGGUCCCAAGCGUUGUUCGGAUUCACUGGGCGUAAAGGGUGCGUAGGUGGUGAGGUAAGUCGGAUGUGAAAGCUCCGAGCUCAACUCGGAAAUGGCAUUGGAAACUACCUUGCUCGAGGGUUUGAGGGGGGACUGGAAUACUUGGUGUAGCAGUGAAAUGCGUAGAUAUCAAGUAGAACACCGGUGGCGAAGGCGGCUUCCUGGACCGACACUGACACUGAGGCACGAAGGCCAGGGGAGCAAACGGG
rnacentral:rRNA from 1 species